UACGAAGGGGGCUAGCGUUGUUCGGAAUUACUGGGCGUAAAGGGCGCGCAGGCGGCUCAUUUUGUCAGGCGUGAAAGCCCCGGGCUUAACCUGGGAACUGCGUUUGAUACGGAUGGGCUAGAGUUCGGGAGAGGAGAGUGGAAUUCCCAGUGUAGAGGUGAAAUUCGUAGAUAUUGGGAAGAACACCGGUGGCGAAGGCGGCUAUCUGGACCGUAACUGACGCUGAGGCGCGAAAGCGUGGGGAGCAAACAGG
rnacentral:rRNA from 1 species